ACUGUUUGCUUCAGUUUGUAGACAAUAUUUACCAAAAUAAUUGAAAACCGCAUUGAAAAGUUUAGUUCCAAACUUCUAAUUAAUUGAAAUGCUUCUGAAAAUCAAUCUAGACCCUCUAGCUUCUCUCCCCUCAAAACCAGAAAUACCCAAUUCGAGAGUAGUUUGGUUUUCUGCUUUUGAUCAAGAUUUGUAGAAAGACAAAAGGAGAGAGUUUCUGAAGUGGAGGGCUUUGUUUUGGUUUGUUUACUGUCUAUAUAUGUUGCCUUGCCUAACUGAAGCACCUGCUAUAGUCAAGUCCUACUAUGACAAAAGAAUAGUUGGAUGCCCUGGUGUUGAAGUAGUGCACAAGGGGUUCUGUUGUUCUCUUGGACAAUGAUGGUGCAGCUGCAUUAGUGCUAGCUAGUGGGGAGAAGGAACUUGAAUGCAAUAGUGUUAGCAUGUGGAUGUUUUUGGAACAAUGAUAUUGUAUCAGCUUUU